CCCGUCAUAUGAAGCUACAUGAUGAACACGAGAACUGAAGAAUGAUGUUUGUUGUCCACACAUGAAGUGGUAAAAGCAGCUCCUGGAGUUUGUCUACUAAUUUCCUGCUGUGAAAAAUGAUCUUGAUAACCGCUUGAAAGUAAGACAUGAAUAAUGCCAAUAAGAACAACCCUUCAGUAAUUGAUAGUCAACAAUAUUUCUCAGCAUCCGUGAAGCACAAAGAGAAACAAGAACCACUGACAGACCUGGACCCAGAUUACAUUGAAGAUGCUGAACUGUUGGCUGUUGCAGAUGUGCACUUCAG